rnacentral:rRNA from 1 species
GCAGCCGCGGUAAUUCCAGCUCCAAUAGCGUAUAUUAAAGUUGUUGCAGUUAAAAAGCUCGUAGUUGAACUUCGGGACCUGUGGGUCGGUCGUGCCUCCGGUACGUACUGGCUCUACCGGUUCCUCCCUUCUGAAGAACCACGAUGUCAUUAAUUUGGUGUCGUGGGGAAUCAGGACUGUUACUUUGAAAAAAUUAGAGUGUUUAAAGCAGGCUAAAGCUUGAAUAGAUUAGCAUGGAAUAACGAAAUAGGACGUUUGAUCUUAUUUUGUUGGUUUCUAAGAUCGACGUAAUGAUUAAUAGGGAUAGUUGGGGGCAUUAGUAUUCAAUUGUCAGAGGUGAAAUUCUUGGAUUUAUUGAAGACUAACUACUGCGAAAGCAUUUGCCAAGGAUGUUUUCAUUAAUCAAGAACGAAAGUUAGGGGAUCGAAGACGAUCAGAUACCGUCGUAGUCUUAACCAUAAACUAUGCCGACUAGGGAUCGGAUGAUGUUAAUUUUUUAAUGACUCAUUCGGCACCUUACGGG